rnacentral:lncRNA from 1 species
AAAUCAAAUCUACUUUCAUCUUGAUUCAAAUAAAAUAACAGAUUUGAUUUGAAGCCAAAUUCAUGGGAGAUUGUCUUGCAUCCCCUUUUAGCCCCAAACUACAUUCCUUCUCAAGUUCGCCAAGUCUCUCCAUUAGACCAUUACUUGAACCUUCAUCUAAGUUUGGACAAUCAUGUAGAUUCAACACCUUAUACCAUCUUUAGGCCUCAAGAUAGAGAAGACAUUUAAGAGAAACAAAGAGGAGAUAAACAAUCAAAAUCAAAAGUAUAUUUGGAAGCAGUAGUAGAAGUCAAGUCCUUUCAUGAUCUUAAAAUGUGAAACAAAAGAUUAGAACCAGCUAGCAUUCCUCCAUUAAAAAUUAUGUUAUUUCCAAGUAGCCAUAGCCUCAGCCAAAUAGCCAAAAUUAAGAUUUGCCAACCAUAAAAAAAUUCUUUAGAAU